rnacentral:rRNA from 1 species
UACGUAGGGUGCAAGCGUUGUCCGGAAUUAUUGGGCGUAAAGAGCUCGUAGGCGGUCUGUCGCGUCUGCUGUGAAAACUCGGGGCUUAACCCCGGGCCUGCAGUGGGUACGGGCAGACUAGAGUGCGGUAGGGGGAGACUGGAAUUCCUGGUGUAGCGGUGAAAUGCGCAGAUAUCAGGAGGAACACCGGUGGCGAAGGCGGGUCUCUGGGCCGUAACUGACGCUGAGGAGCGAAAGCAUGGGGAGCGAACAGG